rnacentral:tRNA from 1 species
GGAAGCAUGGUCGAGAGGCUUAGGACGCUGGUUUGCUAAACCAGUAAAGUCUUUAAAAGGACUUUCGCAGGUUCGAAUCCUGCUGCUUCCG